rnacentral:tRNA from 1 species
ACUUGAGUAUCUUAAAAUUAAAGUCUAACUUUGAAGAAGUUAUUAUAAGGUUAAUUCCUUCUCAGGUA